rnacentral:lncRNA from 1 species
CUUUCACCUUCUUCCUCAGUUCUCACAAUCAUUGUGCUACUGCCGCCUCUCUCCAGCGACGCCACCGUAUCUCCCUCUCUCUGGCGACGCCACUGCCGUUUCUGAUUACAAGCUUUCUUCUCUUGAUGAAUCCGUCAUAACAAACUUAACAAAAACACAAGAAUCAAACUUUUUCAUAAACUUUUAUUACAAUCACAGAUUGAAUUACACACCUUUUCAAAUUGGAAUUUCAUGAAAGUAAGAGAGAGGAAGACAUGUUUGUGCAUCUAUGAGAGGUGCUACGAUUGUUAUUAAGAGGAAGAAUAAGAAUAAGACCGAGGGUGAGUUGGGCGACGUGAUGUGGAGUAUAGGGGGGACGGCACCGCCGCUGUAUGGACAAAAGGGAGAGCGGUGGCAUCGCCAGCAAGAGGGAGAGGGGAGAGGUGGAAGCAACACCGAAUGAUGGUGCGCGUAGGUUGUGAAUAGAGAGGAAGAGGAGAAGAGCGCGUGGGCUUAUUUUCAUUAAACAAGGGUUUUUUCAAACCUCUUAAUCCUAGCCCUUAGGGUCCGUUUGGUUCGAGAGUUUUGGAGGGGAGGGGAGGGGAGAUUUUUAAUUUGAAGUGUUUGGUUCAAUUUUUAGAAGGGAAGGGAAGGGGAGGGGAGGGGAGCAAAUCUCUUUAAAAUUUUAUUGCAUUGCCAUAAUUAUCCUUAAAUUAAUUUCAAAUCUCAAUAUUAACCUUGUAACAACUUUUAUUAUUAUUAGAUUAUAUUAUUUUGAGUUAAAUAUGUUUUUAGUCCCUAUAAAUAUACCAACUUUUCAUUUUAGUCCUUCUAAAAUUUUCCUUCAACUUUUAGUCCCUUAAAAAUUUUUCAUCUUCACUUUUGGUCCCUCUUUUAAAGUAAACUCAUAUAUAGAAUUAAUAUUUUUUAAUGAAAUUUUUCAGAAAAAUUCAUAAUAUUAUAAGAAUCUCUCCCAAAAAAAUUUAGAAUUUUUUAACAAAGCAUGAAUUUAAUAUGAAUGUUUAUAUUUUUGAAGGUUAAAAAUUUAUAUUUAAUUUGUGUUUUGCUAAAAAAUUCUAGCAUUUUUUGGGAAUUUUUGUUACAAUAUUCUUAACAUUUCUGCACAAUUUCAUUUAAAAAUACAAAAAUUAACUUAAAAAUAGGGACCAAAAGUAGCGAUUGAAAAUUUUAUAAGGACUAAAAGUUGAAGAAAAAUUUUAGAGGGACUAAAAAGAAAAGUUGGUAUAUUUAUAGGGACUAAAAACAUAUUUAACCCUAUUAUUUUUGUAACAAUCUUAUUAUUAUUAUUAGGUUAUCUUAUUCUUGUAACAAUUAUUAUUAUUAUUUUGUUAUAUUUUCCUUGUAACAAUUUUUAUUAUUAUAUAAUCUACCACUCUUAUUUGUUAGAUGUACAAACCGCUCUUACUACUACUUUGUUGUUGUCAACGACUGCUUGAGGCUUCCUCCAAAGUGAAUUGUGAGUAAUUUCAAUAUCUCAUUGUCUAUAUCGUAGUAUUAUUAUUUAAGAUAAAAUAGCGGCUUAGAUGUGUGCUUGUCUUUGUCAGUUUCUGAAAUCGUAAAAACAAACAGUUUCUUUUAUUUAAUUAAGUUUAAGGGUAAAACGGUAAAAUACUGUUAAAAUCCCUCCCCUCCCCUUGUGAACCAAACACACUUUUAAUUAAAAAUAUCUCCCCUCCACUCCCCUCC